rnacentral:rRNA from 1 species
CAGCCGCCGCGGUAAUACGUAGGUGGCAAGCGUUGUCCGGAAUUAUUGGGCGUAAAGGGCUCGCAGGCGGCUUCUUAAGUCUGAUGUGAAAGCCCCCGGCUCAACCGGGGAGGGUCAUUGGAAACUGGGAAACUUGAGUGCAGAAGAGGAGAGUGGAAUUCCACGUGUAGCGGUGAAAUGCGUAGAGAUGUGGAGGAACACCAGUGGCGAAGGCGACUCUCUGGUCUGUAACUGACGCUGAGGAGCGAAAGCGUGGGGAGCGAACAGGAUUAGAUACCCCCGUAGUCCCUGUCUCUUAUAA